rnacentral:rRNA from 1 species
AAUAUUUGUCAAUCGAGGCAACUCUGAACCAGCCAAGUCGCGUGAAGGUUGACUGCCCUCCGGGUUGUCAACUUCUUUUUUAAGGGAUUAAAGUGAGCCUCGUGCUGCUGUUUGUAGGUACCUUACGAAUAAGGAUCGGCUAACUCCGUGCCAGCAGCCGCGGUAAUACGGAGGAUCCGAGCGUUAUCCGGAUUUAUUGGGUUUAAAGGGUGCGCAGGCGGAAUAUUAAGUCGGCGGUGAAAGUUUGCAGCUUAACUGUAAAAUUGCCGUUGAAACUGGUUUUCUUGAGUGUAUAUGAAGUAGGCGGAAUUUGUAGUGUAGCGGUGAAAUGCAUAGAUAUUACAAGGAACUCCGAUUGCGAAGGCAGCUUACUAAAAUACAACUGACGCUCAGGCACGAAGGCGUGGGUAUCAAACA